rnacentral:rRNA from 1 species
UACGUAGGGGGCAAGCGUUGUCCGGAAUCAUUGGGCGUAAAGAGCGUGUAGGCGGCCAGAUAAGUCCGCUGUGAAAGUCCAGGGCUCAACCCUGGGAUGCCGGUGGAUACUGUCGGGCUCGAGUCCGGAAGAGGAGUGUGGAAUUCCUGGUGUAGCGGUGAAAUGCGCAGAUAUCAGGAGGAACACCAAUGGCGAAGGCAGCACUCUGGGACGUGACUGACGCUGAGACGCGAAAGCGUGGGGAGCAAACAGG